rnacentral:rRNA from 1 species
CGAACGCUGGCGGCGUGCUUAACACAUGCAAGUCGAACGAAAAGGCCCUGCUUGCAGGGUACUCGAGUGGCGAACGGGUGAGUAACACGUGGGUGAUCUGCCCUGCACUUCGGGAUAAGCCUGGGAAACUGGGUCUAAUACCGGAUAGGAGCCAUUUUUAGUGUGAUGGUUGGAAAGUUUUUUUCGGUGUAGGAUGAGCUCGCGGCCUAUCAGCUUGUUGGUGGGGUAAUGGCCUACCAAGGCGGCGACGGGUAGCCGGCCUGAGAGGGUGGACGGCCACAUUGGGACUGAGAUACGGCCCAGACUCCUACGGGAGGCAGCAGUGGGGAAUAUUGCACAAUGGGCGCAAGCCUGAUGCAGCGACGCCGCGUGGGGGAUGACGGCCUUCGGGUUGUAAACUCCUUUCGCUAGGGACGAAGCUUUUUGUGACGGUACCUAGAUAAGAAGCACCGGCUAACUACGUG